rnacentral:piRNA from 1 species
UAUGCCAAGGAACAAACUGUAUCUGUGA